UCCGGCGUGGUGAAAUUGGCAUUCACGGCGGGUUUUGGUCCCGCUAUUCCUGGUUCGAGUCCAGGCGCCGGAG
rnacentral:tRNA from 1 species